AGAGUUUGAUCCUGGCUCAGAUUGAACGCUGGCGGCAUGCCUUACACAUGCAAGUCGAACGGCAGCACGGGAGCAAUCCUGGUGGCGAGUGGCGAACGGGUGAGUAAUGUAUCGGAAUGUACCUUUCAGUGGGGGAUAACGUAGCGAAAGUUACGCUAAUACCGCAUAUUCUGUGAGCAGGAAAGCAGGGGAUCUUAGGACCUUGCGCUGAUUGAGCGGCCGAUAUCAGAUUAGCUAGUUGGUGAGGUAAAGGCUCACCAAGGCGACGAUCUGUAGCGGGUCUGAGAGGAUGAUCCGCCACACUGGAACUGAGACACGGUCCAGACUCCUACGGGAGGCAGCAGUGGGGAAUUUUGGACAAUGGGGGCAACCCUGAUCCAGCCAUGCCGCGUGAGUGAAGAAGGCCUUCGGGUUGUAAAGCUCUUUCGGCCGGGAAGAAAUCGCAUGGGUUA
rnacentral:rRNA from 1 species